rnacentral:rRNA from 1 species
AACGAACGCUGGCGGCGCGCCUAAUACAUGCAAGUCGAGCGAGAAGACGUAGCAAUACGUUUGUAAAGCGGCGAACGGGUGAGGAAUACAUGGGUAACCUACCCUCGAGUGGGGAAUAACUAGCCGAAAGGUUAGCUAAUACCGCGUACGCUCCUUGGACUUCGGUUCAGGGAGGAAAGCGAUACCGUGGGUAUCGCGCUCUUGGAUGGGCUCAUGUCCUAUCAGCUUGUUGGGAGGUAACGGCUCACCAAGGCUUCGACGGGUAGCUGGUCUGAGAGGACGAUCAGCCACACUGGCACUGCGACACGGGCCAGACUCCUACGGGAGGCAGCAGUAAGGAAUAUUGCGCAAUGGGCGAAAGCCUGACGCAGCGACGCCGCGUGC